rnacentral:rRNA from 1 species
GAUGGCGGCGGCUACACAUGCAGUCGAGCGGAUGACGGGAGCUUGCUCCUUGAUUCAGCGGCGGACGGGUGAGUAAUGCCUAGGAAUCUGCCUGGUAGUGGGGGACAACGUUUCGAAAGGAACGCUAAUACCGCAUACGUCCUACGGGAGAAAGCAGGGGACCUUCGGGCCUUGCGCUAUCAGAUGAGCCUAGGUCGGAUUAGCUAGUUGGUGGGGUAAUGGCUCACCAAGGCGACGAUCCGUAACUGGUCUGAGAGGAUGAUCAG